GUCCAGCCUGGCAUCAGACUUUGCAGCUUGUUCUUUCACCCCUUGGAAAUGUUAAUUAGCUGUGGACUCACAAAAUACUUAAUAGAGGCCAGAGGGUGAAAACUUGGACAGCAGCACAGACUUGCUCUCAUCCUUCUUUUUGGCUUGAUUCUGUCAUGCUCUUAAAGGUUUGAGAACCACCAGGCAAUACAGCAGGAAGCUGUCUUGUAUUUACAUGUAAGAAUGUGAGCCUAAAGUCUGACCAGUGAUAUGUCAGCACCAGGAAUUAGUCAUAGACUUGUCUGGGAAAUUACAGCCAACUAGGAAAUAGAAACAACAACAAAAAAAAGACGUUUAUUUCUAGAAGGAUGUCAAAGGAAUUCAACAGGAAGUCUCCUUCAGUGGAAGAGGUUUUCCUCAGGUAACAGUUGCUGUGUUUGGACUCAUUAAGAAUUAAACAUAGAUAAAAAACCCAAUUCCUUCCACAUUGCUCUUCUCCCACCAGGCUUUUGAGUGAAGAUUGGAUGGGGUUUUGCCUGGUUUCUGAAGGGGCCAAGGAACACAAGUUGCUGUUUUUGCUUUGAAAUACAGGUGAACUUUUAGCCAGAGCUCCUGGUGCUGGUGGAAUCCUCAGGAGAGAUAAGGCUUUGCAUACCGCUCCUCGAUGGCCGUGGGGAAUGAGGAAAGGGAAAGAGUGGGAUGAGCAUCUCUGACUAAUCUGAAAGGAACACAACGGUCUUGUCUCUGAUCAAUUUACUAUAUUUAGCAUUAUGUAAGAACAGAUUUUCCCCA
rnacentral:lncRNA from 1 species